rnacentral:lncRNA from 1 species
CCUGCUGAUGUGUAUAAGGUAAUUUUCCUUUCAAUAUUCUAUCCCUUAUAAUUCCAAGUCUACUUCUUAGCUCCUAUCUAAUGUAUCCACUCAAAGAUUGAUUAAUUCCACGUGGCCCAAUAACAAAGAAAUUGCUACCAUCUUUUAGCCAAUAAAAUCCCAUUUUUAGAUUCCCUCCAAAUCCUUGGACCAGCUUUAUCCACUUCCUUCUCUUAACCUUCAUACACACAGUUCAAACUUCCCCCAAUCUCCCAAAAAAAAAAAUAAAAUAAAGAACACACAACAAUGGCCGCCAACACACUAAUGAGCUGUGGCAUAGCCACCACAUUUCCUUCACUUCUUUCCUCAUCAAAGUCCAAGUUCAGUGGCGCCGCCGUAUCGUUGCCUAGUGCUGUUGGUACCAAUGUUGGCCACCGUGUUAGCAUGUCAGCUGAUUGGAUGCCUGGUCAACCUAGACCACCUUACCUUGAUGGCUC